GAUGAACGCUGGCGGCGUGCCUAAUACAUGCAAGUAGAACGCUGAAGGAAGAAGCUUGCUCUUUCCGGAUGAGUUGCGAACGGGUGAGUAACGCGUAGGUAACCUGCCUGGUUGCGGGGGAUAACUAUUGGAAACGAUAGCUACUACCACAUAACAGUAGCUGUUGCAUGAUACCUACUUAAAACGUGCAAUUGCACCACUACCAGAUGGACCUGCGUUUUAUUAGCUAGUUGGUGAGGUAACGGCUCACCAAGGCGACGAUACAUAGCCGACCUGAGAGGGUGGUCCGCCAAAAUGGGACUGGAGAAAGGCCCAGGCUCCUUCGGGGGGGAGCAGUAGGGAAACUUCGGCAAUGGACGGAAGUCUGGCCGAACAACGCCGCGUGAGUGAAGAAGGUUUUCGGAUCGUAAAGCUCUGCUGUAAGAGAAGAAAGAGUGUGAGAGUGGAAAGUUCACGCUGUGACGGUAUCUAAACAGAAAGAGACGGCUAACUACGUG
rnacentral:rRNA from 1 species